GAAAAGAAAGAAAAGAAAGGAAAAUUAAAAAGAGGAAAAGAUCUUUCCAUACCUGCCCCCAUACCGUCUCAUGCCUUGUGGGUCCCAUGGUCACCCACUCCUCACCCAGCACCACUUGCCCUUCUUGGAUGCUUGCCAUGUGGCACACAUCAAAGCUUCCUCUAUGCCUAUUUAAAGGCCUUUUUUUUCCUCAUUUUCACACACUUCAUUUCUUCUUCC
rnacentral:lncRNA from 1 species